rnacentral:sRNA from 1 species
ACGUGGGKUUUUUUUUUCGAAUUGAGUGAUUAUGCAACCAUACAGGAACCUUACAUAAGCGCAAGUAGUUGAAUAGUGGAUUCAAGAAGCAAAACUUUACUACCGGUAAAAACAUUAGAACGAAAUAAAAGUGCUGAAKCUUAAAAAGUAAAAUAUAUACUUGGAUAAGAAUUCCCAGGGAAACUGGGUACCUCGUUUUCCUGUUGCACUAWUUUUUUUAGAUUCUUUCUUGWAUUUUUUACCAAUCGCCUGAUGAAAAUACCUUCCAGAGCAGAGAACAACAGUAGAAGUAUGCUGAAAAAGUUAGUAUGAGAAGUUUGAAUUGUUUAGAUAAUAUAAAAGUGACAUCUAAUAUGACUAAUAUAAAAAUAGUAAGUAUGGUAAUCAAAAAAAGAUACAAACAAUGUAUAUAUAUAAAGGAAAAAUAACCUGCGAAUAUUGAGAAAAA